rnacentral:lncRNA from 1 species
GAAGUCAAAUAGUCCCAAAUUCAGAGAUAUGGCCUAAUACAACAGGCAUCACGGGACACUUAACAAACUGGAGGCAUUAAAGGAGGCAUUUAAAAAAUGAAUAAGGAAACUAAUACAAGUUCGCAGACUUCCUGUUGGAGCUCAAAAUGAGCUGUGUUGUGGACUUCCUUUUUUAAAAGGAGUUAGUGGUUCAUGCUUUCAUAAUGCAGCUUUAUAAAUUUAUCUGAUAAAUAAAAAAUGGCUUAUGUGCUUCUUUCAAUAGUGAGAAGCUGAAGUCCAGUUUUCUAGUUUGCAGCUGCGAUCAUUGUCUCUUCUGUGUUUUUACAGAACUUAAUAUAACUUGAGCUCAGUCCUGUAGUUGCCCAAAGGCUCUGUUCCAUCAGAUGUGCCCGACAGGAGCAGUGGUGCUUGAUUUAUGUCAGAUUUCACUUUCUCUUGGCCCACAAUACCAGGCAUGACUUCAACAUCUUGUGUCCAUAUUUUGCUCAGUGCAUGGAUGAAAGGAAGGAAAAGGCUGCUCAAACUGGCAGGUUCUCCUAACCAUGUGUCCUUCUGGCAGCUGUGGAUGCGAUGGGGAUAGAAGGUAAAACAACAAUUCCAGAGGGGCCUUUCUCAGUCCUUUUCCUGAAUAUACUUAUGAGAACAAUAGAUGAGUAAGGUUGGCAGAAAGACAGAGAAGAAAAGCAAAUUGUUGUAUGCACAGGUAGGAUUGCUCAUGUCCUCGAGACCUUGACCCAAGUCUGUCGGGCUCCUGUCUUGUCUCCCAUCUCAU